ensembl:lncRNA
AUGUUUUGCCUUUUCUUUUGCUCAUUGUUCCCUAAAGCCACAUAUUUGUUUUAUGAUUUUCCACCUUCACAUGCCAUUUCUUCUUAUUCUCCCCAGAUGCCUCAUUGCUAUGUCUCUCCCUUUUUUCUCCAGCAUCUUACUUGCUGUUGGAAGUCUGGCUUGACCCAAUGUGAGGCCCUCUUCUCCAUUCCAGAUCCAGGACACCAUUCCCUGAAGGAGCCAUCAGGGGCCUGUGGGAUAGAGGCCAUUGCUGGGGAUGCCCUGAUAGAGGUCCUUCAACAAAUAACAAGUAAGAGGCUGCAGUUUCUGCAACGAGAGAUGAUGGGGCUGAAAUGUCAGCAGGACAGACCAGGAUGGAAGAUCAAUCACGGAGCGGUAGGCUUUCCCCCUCUGUCUUCAGCCCUGCCAGAUAGGCCUUGGCUUGCCCUGGAGUUCCCUGGCUGUGGGCUUCUCCCUUCUCCUCCUGGCCCAGCGGAACUGCCAGGACUGCUGAGAGACAAGCUUGAGCAGGACAGACAGGCAAGGCAGAUGCAGGGGGCAGGCGCUGCAGCAGUGGUGCCAGGGGCGCUCAUGUAUGUCACACUUAGAUUUACAAGUAUAAUGAGGCUUCAUCUGUUGAUUGCCAGCCCACCAUCCAUCAACACUGUUCCACCAGAGGCAGAGCCCAGGUCCUGUUGGGCCUCUGGAACACUGCUUUUUUCUCUUCUCCUGCCUUGUGGGGCUGGUAAACAAAGGGGAUGGGGCUACAGAUGGAAGUUGUUUGCUGCAUGUGUGUGUCUGGGGGCAGGCAAGGCUGUGGCUGGAGUCCCUGCCAGGAAACACACCAGCUGGUGA